rnacentral:rRNA from 1 species
CCUACGGGUGGCAGCAGUCGAGAAUCAUUCACAAUGGGGGAAACCCUGAUGGUGCGACGCCGCGUGGGGGAAUGAAGGUCUUCGGAUUGUAAACUCCUGUCAUGUGGGAGCAAAUUAAAAAGAUAGUACCACAUGUGGAAGAGACGGCUACCUCUGUGCCAGCAGCCGCGGUAAUACAGAGGUCGCAAGCGUUGUUCGGAAUCACUGGGCGUAAAGCGUGCGUAGGCUGUUUCGUAAGUUGUGUGUGAAUGGCGCCGGCUCAACCCGCGGACGGCACAUGAUACUGCUGGACUAGAGUAAUGGAGGGGGAGCCGGAAUUCUCGGUGUAGCAGUGAAAUGCGUAGAGA